CUGUAGGAGCUGCCGCAGGCUGCGAUCUUUUGAUUGUGAUUCUUAAAAGACCAGAUCAAAAGAUCGCAGCCUGCGGCAGCUCCUACAG
rnacentral:misc_RNA from 1 species